GCAUGGAUUAGGCAUGCAAGUCGAGCGCGAAAACUUGAGUUUUAAUUCCUUCGGGAUGAGAGACUCUGUGAGUAGAGCGGCAAAAGGGUGAGUAAUACAUGGGUGAUGUGCCCUUGACUCCGGCAUAGCUUCGGGAAGCUGAAGGUAAUUCCGGAUAGUCCUACUGGAUUUCAUGGUCUUGUAGGUAAAGGUGGGGAUCCUUCGGGACCCACAGGUCAGGGAGCGGCUCAUGCGCUAUCAGCUUGUUGGUGAGGUAACGGCUCACCAAGGCUACGACGGCUAGGCGGUCUGAGAGGAUGACCGCCCACAUCGGGACUGAGACACUGCCCGGACUCCUACGGGAGGCUGCAGUCGAGAAUCAUCCGCAAUGGGCGAAAGCCUGACGGUGCGACGCCGCGUGAGGGACGAAGGCUCUAGGGUUGUAAACCUCUUUCGCCUGUUAAGAAUGUGCUGGUGUUAAUAGCAUUAGUGCUGACAAAGGCAGGUAAAGAAGCACCGGCUAACUCCGUGCCAGCAGCCGCGGUAAGACGGAGGGUGCAAGCGUUACUCGGAAUUACUGGGCGUAAAGGGUCCGUAGGCGGCCUGGAAAGUUGGAUGUGAAAUCCCACAGCUUAACUGUGGAACUGCGUCCAAAACUAUCAGGCUAGAGGAUGGUAGGGGACAGUGGAACUCAAGGUGGAGCGGUGAAAUGCGUAGAGAUCUUGAGGAACGCCGGUGGCGAAAGCGACUGUCUGGGCCAUUCCUGACGCUGAGGGACGAAAGCUAGGGGAGCGAACGGGAUUAGAUACCCCGGUAGUCCUAGCUGUAAACGAUGACCACUAGGUUGGGGGACUUUCGAGUGUCCCUUCCGUAGCUAACGCGUUAAGUGGUCCGCCUGGGGAGUAUGCGCGCAAGCGUAAAACUCAAAGGAAUUGACGGGGGCUCACACAAGCGGUGG
rnacentral:rRNA from 1 species